GACGAACGCUGGCGGCGUGCUUAACACAUGCAAGUCGAGCGAGGCCCAUCCGGUGGCAACACCGGGGAAGGCCGAGCGGCGAACGGGUGAGUAACACGUGAGCAACCUGCCCCGAAGUCUGGAAUAACAUCGGGAAACCGGUGCUAAUACCGGAUCGCCCCACCUGACCGCAUGAUCGGGUGAGGAAAGAUUUAUCGCUUCGGGAGGGGCUCGCGGCCUAUCAGCUAGUUGGUGGGGUAACGGCCUACCAAGGCGUCGACGGGUAGCUGGUCUGAGAGGACGACCAGCCACACUGGGACUGAGACACGGCCCAGACUCCUACGGGAGGCAGCAGUAGGGAAUCUUGCGCAAUGGGCGGAAGCCUGACGCAGCAACGCCGCGUGGGGAUGACGGCCU
rnacentral:rRNA from 1 species